GAGCUGACGGAGGGAGCGGUUCGCUUCGGAGGCGGAGAAACCGGAAGAAACACGAAGUUUAUUGCUAUAGAAACAUCCAGUAAGCAUCAUUGUGCAAAAGGAAACAAUCAGAACGGAGGUUGGGGACUAUGGGCCUUUUAUGACUUGGGCACUUCAAAGCCAGCAUGGUUGGCUCAGGAAUUUCUGUGUCACGGCUGCCUCCGAUCAACCCCCAGGGAAGAAAAACCUUGGCUCCAUAGAUUCAAAGAAAAGGGACUUUUACUGUGAAAGAACAAAAGACAAAUUGAAACUAACCUCAGUAUCCAGGCAACCACAGUCCAAUCAUUGGCCAGGAAUAUGUUUUGAGAAUGUCUCUGGUUCAGGUGCUCCGUGCCGCCCUCCUGCAUGCCAUUUCACGGACGGUUGGCCUUGAAGCUGUUAAACAACCCAAGCUGCCCUCCCUGAUUCCAAGCCUCCCUAUGGCUUCAGUUCAGUUCAGUUUCAGUUUAUUGUAUUUAUAUGCCGCCCUUUUCCCCCGAAGGGGACUCAGGGUG